rnacentral:rRNA from 1 species
AAGUCCCGUAACGAGCGCAACCCCUAUGUUUAGUUGCCAGCACGUUAAGGUGGGGACUCUAAACAGACUGCCUGUGCAAACAGAGAGGAAGGAGGGGACGACGUCAAGUCAUCAUGGCCCUUACGUCCGGGGCUACACACGUGCUACAAUGGAUGGUACAGAGGGCAGCUAGCCGGUAACGGUAUGCCGAUCUCACAAAGCCAUUCACAGUUCGGAUAGAGGUCUGCAACUCGACCUCUUGAAGUUGGAUUCGCUAGUAAUCGCGUAUCAGCAAUGACGCGGUGAAUACGUUCCCGGGCCUUGUACACACCGCCCGU